GACGAACGCUGGCGGCGUGCUUAACACAUGCAAGUCGAACGGAAAGGCCUGCUUUCCCUUGUGGAUUGCGGGUACUCGAGUGGCGAACGGGUGAGUAACACGUGAGUGAUCUGCCCCCAACUUGGGUAUAAGCCUGGGAAACUGGGUCUAAUUCCCGAUAGGACUGCAGGGUGGUGCCUGUGGUGGAAAACGAUUUUCUAGUGGUUGGGGAUGAGCUCGCGGCCUAUCAGCUUGUUGGUGGGGUAAUGGCCUACCAAGGCGGCGACGGGUAGCCGGCCUGAGAGGGUGGACGGCCACAUUGGGACUGAGAUACGGCCCAGACUCCUACGGGAGGCAGCAGUGGGGAAUAUUGCACAAUGGGCGGAAGCCUGAUGCAGCGACGCCGCGUGGGGGAUGACGGCCUUCGGGUUGUAAACUCCUUUCGACCGCGAGGAAGCCACCUGGUUGGAAGGGUGGUGACGGUAGUGGUAGAAGAAGCACCGGAUAACUACGUG
rnacentral:rRNA from 1 species